GACUUUGGAGAGAUCGAGAUUGGAGUUAGAGAGUGAGAUUUUGGAAACGUUGAGUUCGAGAAUACCGUUGUGUGUGAAUCCGAAUUGAUCGAAAGGGAUGAUGGGACGAUCGUCGCUUCGGAUCUCGGAGAAACGGAUCUCGGAGAAGGUGGUUGGGAGGGUGGUGAGGAGGAGGAGAGGGAGGAGGGGGAGGAGGUGGUGGAAACGCUCCAUCGUGUGAUGAAACGUUUGAGAUUUGGAUUUGGAUCUGAGAAAUAUGUGAAUUUG
rnacentral:lncRNA from 1 species